ensembl:lncRNA
UCUUUGAGCUCAGUGCUAGCAAAUUUACUAAACACUAGCUGUGCCCGGCCACGCGUUGCUGUGGCUUAGUCUGGUGGUGUUGGUCAGUCUACAUUAGGUUGUAUUUAUGCUGUGACCUCCACCUUCUUUAUACUCACAUUAGUAGUAGUAUUUGAAGUCUGUUACCUUCUUCAAUUUUUGUGUUGAUUGAUAAUUGCUUGAGAUCCCUGUUGUCUUUGGUUUGUUGUUAAUUGUAAUGUCUGAUUCUGCUGAGUGCGGUUUAUAUUUUUAUUGUAGUACAAUAGUCUUUUUUUUGUUUCGCCUGUGUAGGUGUUUAUUAUUGUUGUUGUUGUAGUGGUCAUGAAGGUUGGAUAAGUUAGAGGCUACUGUAUUGUUUUUUGGAGGCCCAGUGUAGCACUGACUGGCCUCUCAGCCUCAGUGCCUGGCUGUUUCUUGCCUGUGAUGGUGUUGAUUCUUAUUGUUGUUGUUGUUGUCAUUGUUAUUACUGUAAUUGUUUUUUUUGGAGGCCAAGUGUGAAUGUAGGGAUUGGGGAGGAGGAUGAGUUGUGUUGUCAAAUUUUGUAUUUGUUAUAGUCACAAUGCGUUGUUGUGAGUUUUGUGGGUCCGGAUUGUGUUUUUGUGGUGUGGUUGUGUUGUUACAACUGAGAGGCAAGCUUUUGUGUUGUGUUGCCAAGUUUUGUAUUUCUGGGGCGUUUAGUUGUGUUGUUAUAGUAACGAUGCAUUGUUGUGAGUUUUGUGGGUCCGGAUUGUGGUUUUGUUUGUUGUUAGUUUUGUGGGUCCGGAUUGUGGUUUUGUGGUGUGGUUGUGUUCUUACAACUGGGAGGCAAGGCUUUUGCGUUGUGUUGUCAAAUUUUGUAUUUCUGGGGCGUUUAGUUUUGUGGGUCCGGAUUGUGGUUUUGUGGUGUAGUUGUGUUGUUACAACCGGGAGAAAAGGCUUUUGUGUUGUGUUGUCAAGUUUUAUAUUUCUGGGGCGUUUAGUUAUGUGCCAAGUUUCGUAUUUCUGGGGCGUUUAGUUGUGUUGUUAUAGUCACAAUGCGUUGUUGUAAGUUUUAUGGGUCCGGAUUGUGGUUUUGUGGUGUGGUUGUGUUGUUACAACCUGGAGGGAAGGCUUUUGCUUUGUGUUGCCAAGUUUCGUAUUUCUGGGGCGUUUAGUUGUGUUGUUAUAGUCACGAUGCGUUGUUGUGAGUUUUGUGGGUCCUGUGUGGUUUUGUGGUGUGGUUGUGUUGUUACAACUGGGAGGCAAGGCUUUUGCAUUGUGUUGCCAAGUUUUGUAUUUCUGGGGCGCUUAGUUGUGUUGUUAUCGCAUGAUGCGUUGUUGUGAGUUUUGUGGGUCUGGAUUGUAGUUUUGUGGUGUGGUUGUGUUGUUGUAACCUGGAGGCAAGCCUUUUGCAUUGUGUUGCCAAAUUUCGUAUUUCUGGGAUGUUUAGUUUUGUUGUUAUAGUCACUGCGCAAACAACUUUAUCAUUUUAUAUAUAUAGAAUAUACAUCCAUCUAGCUGUAAGUUUGUCUGUUCAGAACUAUUCUGGGUAUUUGAGCCCAAACCCAAAAGCUAGGGAUAGCCCUUAGUAAGGUAAUUAAGUGGUAUGCAUUAAGAAACCACUGUGCUUGGCCACAGCUUACCACACAUACACACUGAUUUUCUCAUUUGGAAAUUGGGACAUCUUAUCUAAGGAGUCUGUUCCCAGAUUAAGGCAAAAUGAACCUUCUCACUAAUGUGAGGAGAUGGAAUAAAAACAUUGUUUAAUAUCAUUUAAUUAAUUUUAGUUGGAAGGUGGAUGCAGAGCACCAAAUGAGCCCUAGGAAGGAAAGUGGAAGUAAAUGAAAUACAUAUUUUGAGGCAUAAAUCAAGACUUGCAAAUAGUAGCAGCUUGCCUAGGAAAGCUGGAGAUUUGCACACAGCUCUUUUCUCUUGCCUGGAGUUCAGCACACCAGAAAUGGACUGUUUGUGCCCUCAUCACCCUCAUUGGUGCAAUGGGUUAAAGCCUUGCGCUGGCAGGACUGCUGACUUGAAGAUUGGGUUGCCAGUUCAUAUCCAACCCAAGGGGCGUGCGGAUGAGCUCCCUCUGUCAGCUCCAGUUGCAUGCGGGGACAUGAGAGAAGCCUCCCACAAAGAUGGUAAAAACAUCAAAACAUCCAGGCGUCCCCUGGGCAACGUCCUUACAGGCAGCCAAUUCUCUCACACCAGAAACGACUUGGAGUUUCUCAAGUCCCUCCUGACACGAAAAAAUUCCUGCCUGGAGAUACCCCUUGAAACUGAGGACUCAGAACCAAGCUCUGAAAUCUAGCACCUAUCUUGUUUUUCUAAGAAAAAUACUAGAUACAAACAUACAUGCUAUUGUCAGAGCAGGGAUUUAAUUUUCAAAGUUGAAAGAUGCUAAAUCAUCUUGAUUGUCAAACAUAGCUAGAAUCCUAUAAAAGAAAAGAAAACCAGCAACCAGGAUGAUGAUAAAAAUGUCAUUGAACUACAUCCAGCCUGUAAACUUGUCAGAGCAGGAUUUUUUUGUGUGUGGCAGAGGGAGGGGGCAGGAAUGAUUGUUACCAUAUGGCCUUAUUAAAGUUGAGUUAGAAUAGAACCAGGAAGGUUUUACAAAAUGGGCAUGCCAUGCAAAGUCACUGGUUGCUGAAUCAAUACGACUUUGCCCAGGAGACUGUAAUGAUUAAAAAAGGCCUAAAUCUAUUAGUUCCAGGUAGAGUAGGCCCAUUGAAUCAGUGAAAUUUACAGAGGUCUUCUUGUACAGUUACUGUAUAUUUAACUAUUGUUGGGGACUAACCAUUGGAUCAUGCCUUAUUGACCCAUUUAUGUGACAAGCUGUAUUAAGUCUUUUAAAUCCACGUUGAUAGCAAAUUCAAUACUUGUUUUCAGAUUCAUAAAUACACUGUAAUCUAUUCAGUUGCAUUAUUUAUUGUUGUAGAGAGCAUUUGGUACAAUGUUUAAAAUGUCUUUAAAGGUCUAAGAAAUUAUUGGCAAUUGUUACAAUUAUUAUUACUACUACUACUGCUGCUACUGUUACUACUACUAUUAUUACAAUUGUUGCAACAAGUAGCAUUUGAGAGAAUGGAAGGGAUUUUGCUCGUGGUGAUAUUUGCUCUUUUUUGACCAUUAUGGCAACUUCACUAUGAAGUUUUCUUGGGAGUAAUGUAGGCAUCAGGCAAAAGCAAACUGCUGAAGCCUUUCCACAUUAAUCUGUUAUUUCUCAUUAAUCACUUGCUUCCUUGACCACACUCUGAUAUUUAUUGACUUCAUGUGUCCCAUUUACUCUGUGAAAAGUUGGGUAGGGUAUGUUCCCACCUUACCCCAUCCUCAUGUUAGCAUGUUUGUUCAUAGAAGCGAUAAAACUUGCUGGUUCAUGUUAGUUCAUGGCAGUGAUAAAAUUUGAAUCAAAAUGUUCAUAGUCACUGCACUUCAGUUGAUAGCUUGGCUGCCUGAAACUUCACUGCAUGCCAAUUUACAAAUCUACUUUCUGGUUUUUUGUCACAAUUGCUGUAUUCAAAUAUUAGAAUUAAAGUAAUUUUAAAUAGAUGCUACAGAGCAGAAUUAAGAUUAUUUUGCACAAGAAAAUUAAUAUGUACUGUAAUUUCCUUAAUAUGUCUAAUAUUCAAGACCUCUUGGUUAAAAUAAAUUCCUUUCAGUACAAUUUGUUUAACUGCAGUGUGCCAACAUUCUUAACUACCGAUGUGUUGUAUCCACAGUCAGAGCAUUAACUAUGCAUGGAACAAUUAAAUAAGAACCAUAUUUUACCUUCAUCUUCCUGCCAUACCCUUCCUCUGUGUGCUGCUUAGAAGCUGUGUGAAGCAGUGAAAGUAAAAUAUUUAUAUUUACAUUGUUUAGAUAUGGAGCUUUAUCUCAUGAAAGGAUUUAUCAGUUAGCAUAAAUAAGCAGACUAGAAUAUACAAUAUCUAACGACACAACUCAUGAUAAUAUUCUAAGGGCUACUAAAGCUUUGGAAUUCCUAGAUAGAGAACUUUAGUGCAUGAGGGAAGCAAACUGGCAUUGCCGUUGGACCAUCAACUUUGGUUAUGAUCACUAUCUUAUGACAUUAUGAGCAUCCGGCAACUUUUGCUUCCCUUUCAUUUCUAUCUUGUUUAUUCAUUCAGUUGCUUCUGACUCUUUGUGACCUCAUGGAUCAGUUCCCUGUUGGCUGUUGCCACUCCCAGCUCCUUCAGGGUCAAGCCAGCCUUGGUCGACCCCUCUUCCUUUUUCCUUCCAUUUUCCGCAGCAUCAUUAUCUUCUCCAAGCUUUCCUGUCUUCUCAUUAUGUGGCUAAAGUACUUCAGCUUUGCCUCUAAUAUCCUUCCCUCCAGUGAGCAGUCGGGCAUUAUUUCCUGGAGGAUGGACUGGUUGGAUCUUCUUGUGGUCCAAGGCACUCUCAGGAUUUUCCUCCAACACCACAGUUCAAAAGCGUCUAUCUUCCUUUGCUCAGCCUUCUUUAUGGUCCAGCUCUUGCAUCCAUAGGUUACUAUGAGGAAUACCAUUGCUUUAACUAUGCGGACCUUUGUUGCCAGUGUGAUGUCUCUACUCUUCACUAUUUUAUUGAGGUUGAUCAUUGC